AUGCAUCCUCUAGUCGCUGCAGUACUCACUGCAGAUGAAACAAAAGCAAGUCUAUUUCGCAGGGCUAAUUACAUAAAUGCACAUUGUGUACUGUAUUUUCAUUACAAAUUUUGCGCCUUGUACUCUGAACUUCCUCUACCUGGCGCAGCACGAAUAAAGUCUGUUGGGUCAUGGAUGCAUAACGGUUCAUUCGACAUCAAAAACCGAUGGAUGUUGCUUCUGAGAUUGUAAUGUUCAUUGCGAUUCUUCAAAACUUAACUGGAUGGAUCACAAAGCUCUGAUUUUCUACGCACCGCAUGCCAAUACUAUCGUGUCAACCCACCGUGAGGGGCGCGGGUGGUGCCCUGAGGUGUCGGGGAAAUAAGGCGAGUGUGUGGAAGUGCCACUUAUUACGGAUCCCAAAGGUUACUUUGGCAACAACAGACGUUGCACAUAUUCCUAGCACAAGGGAAGUCCAAUAGUUUUCCCAGAGUGUCCGAGCUGCAUUUAUGGUAUCUAUGGAAAUCAUUUUGGGUAGGACUCUAAUGGAAUAACGACAAUUGUUGUGUUAUUUGUUUUGCGUCAUUAUGCGCUGCGGUUAUCUUUCGGUGCGUGAAUUACAUUACCGCCAUUGAUUUCGUUAAGCAUGUUUUGGCGAAGCAUCCUAUGCUUCCCACUAAUCACAAUAUCUUCUUCGGUUGGACAAAAAGGUCAUCGAGGACACAUUCGCCUUAUUAGAAUAAAUUAAACUUUAAAGUUCUGUGCGCCAACUGUUGAUGUGACUGUGAGUCACCUGCCACACCGUCCUACUCUUUGAAAUAGAUUGCUAUGCUUGUGAAUAUCAGAGUGAUCCAGCAACCGGAUGUAAAGUUCCGGGGAAAAAAGGGCAUGUCGACAGGAAUCUAACAGACUUCCAACUGGAAAAGUGUGCCACGAAAUGCUUGGACAUUGCUGAAGGAGAGACUAAUAAGGAAUGGACUGGUGUGCUGCUGUACAAGGGAUGCCUGGCCUCGGCAAACGCUAACAACAAAUAUUUUGAUAGCUAUUCGGAUAUGGCGAAAAGAGCAAACGGAUGCUACAGACAACAAGAUUGUGGGGAUGCUUCCUGUAAAAAAGUGUACUGCCUCUGCGAUACCUCGCUUUGUAACAACAAAACCCUUCUACACGUGAUUGAUUCGGGAGCUGUCAGGAGGCGGAUCUUUUCGAAAACAGCUUCGAUCCUGUUCCACGUGCACGCUGCAGCAUUGUUAGUUUUUUAUAGUUUUUGUUAGUUCUUGUUGUAACGUAGACCUGCAUUGCUGGAGCAGGUUGCUAAACAAUAUCUUGAAGUUUUUGCAGCUUCUUUUUGCCAGGCUCAUGCAAACGGUUUCCUGCCCUUUCUGGUGGAAUGGCUCCGUAAAAAUUUGCUAACUUUCGUUAUUUUACUCACUUACACACCUGGAUAGUCGACUAGCAAUUACCUGUCGGUAGCUCCAACCUCUGUUGAUGCGCGACUGUGAGGUUGUGACAGGGGCGAUCGGCUACAGCAUGUAAUGGGAAAAUAAAAAAAAUUAUUCGUUGUUUUCAAAGCCA